GUCUUUAUGUUUCUUAUUUUGACACAGACCGCCAUAUGUUUUUCGAUUGUUAUCUUCACUACUUAUCUGCUUUGAUUACCGCAUUUCCGUCCUUAUCAUCCAAUAGUCUUCGUUUCCAGUUUUCUGAUUUGCUAUUUCUUUCUUCUUUAAUUUUCGUUCAUGUUCACCUCUUGCAGCAAUUCUCGGUCUCCCUCUAAGAAAAACCCUAACUUUGUUUUAUAUAUGUGUGUAUGUUUACAGGUAUUGAGACAUGGUACCCCGAAAGAUGAGGCCAAAUGGGAACUCUGGUUUGAGUUCAGUUUAUCUCCCUAAUAUUUUCUUUUCUUCAAAGUUGCGACAUGUAUUUGGGUAGUAGUUUAAUACCUAUUUGUUUAAAUCCUAGUAAAAUCUUACACCAACUAUUUUGUCAUAACUCACAUCACACCUUCCUAUUCGUGUGAUAUUUUUGGAUUAAACAAAUCAUGCAUUUAUGCUCAACUAGUUCUACAGGUAUCCACAUAAAUUUGCUAAAAUUGGAAUUGCUGAAGGUCUUGCUGGCUCAGUUAAUGAUGGACUUAACUCAUAAAGUAUGCUUUCAAAAACAAUUGCAAUAAAAGCCAUUUCAAUGAAUGUAAUCACUAAUUUUUAGUGAAAAUACAAACAUUCAUAUAUCUUCUCUUUUUUUUCUUCAUCUUAGAACCUCUUCACCACACAGGAAGGGCAUUAUUGGAAAUUCAAAACUUUCAACUUUGCCUAAGAAUGCAACGCAACCUAUCCAAUUUUAUUUAAACUAUGACGUUGUGGGUCACUCACCUGCUACAGACUAGAAGAAAGUUGGGGAUAUAGUGAAAGUGACUUUAAUCAAACAAAAAUCUUGAAAUUUAUUGGCUUUUUUUUAAAUAUAAAUUUCUUAAUUAUUUCAAUUUUUCUUUCAGUUAGGUGAACCCCCUAUAACUUCUAAUUUGGGUACACCUUCUUGUAAACCUCAAAAUGAUCCACCAUUUUAUGGAGAUUAUUGGUAUAAUUACACUUUAGAUGAUAUAGUAGGGGAGGAUAAAAGGCAUGGCCUUCAAAGGGUAGUUUUCAAAUUCACAUUUUCCUUCUUGGGUUUUGUGUUAUUUGUAUGUUAUUGUGUUAAGGGUAUAAUCGUCUUUUUAAUAUUUCAUGUUUAUCAGGCUUUAGGGCAGACAUCAGAUUGGUUUAGAAGAGCUUUAGAUGUUGACUGUGUAAGAGGAAACUUGUGUUUAAGUGGUUAUUCUACGUGUGGUGAAGAUGGUGGUGUUCAACUUCCUCAUGAAUAUGUUGAACGUAAAUCUUGGUCAAGCUUUCAUAUUUGACCCAUCUUUUUUUCCUGGUUUAAAAAGAUGACAUUUUUUUAAACCUUUACAGAGGAUGUUGAUUUAAUGGUGGAGGCCGUGAGGCUUCAGGUAUGUCAAUAAGUGCUUAACCCAUUAUUUGUUGCAAAGUUAACAAAAUAAGCUAUGAGUGAGAAUAUGUUGAAAUCGAAUGACGGUAUACUUGGACCACCUGUUAUGAAAUUAUAUUCAAGGGAAGAAUUGAUGGGUGAUUGUCUUCAUCCCUGUUACAUUUUUUAUUUUAUAAUUAUCAUUUUCUCUACCUAAAAAGAUUUUAAGAUUAUGAAACAUUUUUCAGCAUUUCUUUUCUGAUCGAUUAUAUCUCGGUUAAUCUGUUCUCUAAUAACUUCUUUUUGUAGAUUUUUUGAUAUUUACAAAUUUAUGUAUUAAAAUGGUUAAAAGCUUUAAUUCUUUUUGGUCACUGUAACAAAAUGUUCAAGAUCCUACUCUUCUAACAAUGGGUAAAAGAAGUUGAUUCCAUCACCAUCAACAAUAAAGUCAUUGGAUCAUAUCUUAAAUGGUAAGAUUUUUGUUAAUCCUUUGAAUUUUUGUAUAAAGGAGUACAAUAUAUGCACAUGUGGUAUUAGGAGAGGUCAGAAGGUGACUAUCAUUUUCCUAAAAAAAAAGCAUUUUAUGUCUAUAAGCAAACUUUUUCUAGCAAGUGCAGUUAUGAUUCCUCUUGGUGGCUUAAUCUCUGAAGUGGGUGCUGGAAUAUUGAGUUGAAACAUAAAGAUACCAAAGAAGGGUAAAACUAAUAAAAUUUGUUGAUUUAUUGUUGUUUGGCAGGAUAUCAAAGGAAUUAUCACCACUGAAGAGGUGUGUUGCUAUGAGAUUCUUCAAAUGAGGAUGCAAUACCAAACAUGCCCAUCAUUUGAAUUCAGAGCACCAAAAUUUUCCCAUAGGCCAUUUGCAGCUUUCAUGCUUGUCAUACUACAGAAUUAGAAACUGAUGCUUAUCCUGCCUUUAAUGAGCUUACACCAAAGCUAUAUCUUGAGUUGUAGCAAUGUCAUGCCUACACAAUAAUCUAUCAAGUUGUAGCAAUGUCAUGCCUACACAAUAAUUUUCACUAUUAUAAUGGGAUAAGUUUUUCCAUUUUCCAAAAUAUAAUGUCUUGGUAUGGAAGUUAUUUUGAAAAA